GAUGAACGCUGGCGGCGUGCUUAACACAUGCAAGUCGAACGGUAAGGCCCUUCGGGGUACACGAGUGGCGAACGGGUGAGUAACACGUGGGUGAUCUGCCCUGCACUUCGGGAUAAGCCUGGGAAACUGGGUCUAAUACCGGAUAGGACCACUGCCUGCAUGGGUGGUGGUGGAAAGCUUUUGCGGUGUGGGAUGGGCCCGCGGCCUGUCAGCUUGUUGGUGGGGUGAUGGCCUACCAAGGCGACGACGGGUAGCCGGCCUGAGGGGGUGACCGGCCGCACUGGGACUGAGAUACGGCCCAGACUCCUACGGGAGGCAGCAGUGGGGAAUGGUGCACAAUGGGCGCAAGCCUGAUGCAGCGGCGCGGCGUGAGGGAUGACGGCCUUCGGGUUGUAAACCUCUUUCAGCACCGACGAAGCGCAAGUGACGGUAGGUGCAGAAGAAGGACCGGCCAACUACGUGCCAGCCGCCGCGGUAA
rnacentral:rRNA from 1 species